rnacentral:rRNA from 1 species
CACGUAGGGGGCAAGCGUUGUCCGGAUUUAUUGGGCGUAAAGAGCUCGUAGGUGGCUGAGUAAGUCGAUGUUAAAUCCCCAGGCUCAACCUGGGACACCACCCGAUACUGCUCUGGCUAGAGUCCGGUAGGGGAGCGUGGAAUUCCUGGUGUAGCGGUGAAAUGCGCAGAUAUCAGGAGGAACACCAGCGGCGAAGGCGGCGCUCUGGGCCGGUACUGACGCUGAGACGCGAAAGCGUGGGGAGCGAACAGG